GACUGUGCAGUGUUUGGUGCUCAUUGUUACAGUUGUGUUGUUGAGCAAUGCAGCAUCGAGUUUCUGGUAAUACUGAGUUGUGAUCCGGUGUAACCAGCUACCUGAGGCUGGGUUAGUGCAGGCCGGGAGCGCAGUGGCGCGCAGUUGCGCACAGCAGUAGCUGUGCUGUUAACGUCAAGACACGCGUUGUGCUUCCAGCAUAAAACAUACCAAACACUGAAGUGGCUAACUGUAUAAGCCACACUGCCCCGCUCUCAGUAGGACUACGGAUGCAUAUUACCCGUGGCAGUAAACGCUGAAACGUUUCCUGGACUGAUGACGUUUGUGCACACCGGGACAUCUGUAGGCCACCACCUGGGCACGUUUUCUUAACACCCGCAGUGAACAACACACGCCACUUAAGGCAUCCACUUAAAGCAAGUGACAGUGCCAAGGACUGGGGAGUCACUGCAACCAGGAAUACAGACAUUACAUCAUACCAGAGGCUACAGUAUGAAAGACUUUUGGACUGACAAAAUUGUUGGCUGACCCUUCAGACAUGGCUACCACACAGUUGAAUGAGUGCAGGAACAAGAACUGGAGAUGCUUGAAAAUCUUCACUUAAUUAACCCAGACACUGCACCCUGUGUGCAAACCGGACACCACCAGAGAGCAAGUGAAAAUGUUCUACUUUCAGUCCUUCCUUGCAUCUUGAUAUUCUGUACAUGACAAUUACCAACAGAUGAAGCAGCAAAACAGUCUUUGCGGACCAAACAUCUGCUUCAGUCACUGCAAAGAAUGUGUACAUAACUUUUAGUUCAGCUGUACAGAGAUCAUGGUGUUCCAAUUCAGUUAAGAUUUUGCUUUAGGGAUACAUAACAAUGGCCUCCUGGUUUUGUUAUUAAGGGAUGCAUAGCUACACUACAAUUUCUUGAUACCCUUUAUUUACAAAUCACAAAUUACUUUGUAGUUUGUCUUUUUAAUUGACUGGCUUUAUAAGCUGAAAUAUUUUCUCAUCAAACAAGACUGCAGUUGCUUUGAGAGUAAUCUAAAGUUACUGCAUGUUAAAAAUAGGAUGCUCACCUCUAAAAUAACAAAAUACUCAGCUGUCUAACUCUGUCUUGAAGUCAGCAGAUAAAUCGGAUCACUUUACACCCUCCACCAGUGUGACCCCUAUCAGAUUUGGUAUGCAGGGUGGAUAUCUCCCCCUUAGCAGAAUGAUAACUGAAUAACCAUUACCAAGACAUCAAUCCCACUACAAUUGCCUUCUUGGGAGUAUAGCAUGGUAAUAAGUUAGGGAAAUGGCUGUUUGUGCUUGCUCAUAGUAAUUCACUAUGUAUGCAAGAUGUUAAAUACAUGGGCUAAGGUCUUUGAUCAAAGCUUGAUGGGUUGUGAGGUCAGCUACAACAUGACCUCAGUGACCUAUGUAAGAACCAAUAGGCCAUUGGAGAAAUGGUCAAAUACACUGCCAGCACUCCUACAGCAUGUUGCCAUCACAGGUACCUCAGACCUCAGCAUUUAUCGUGUCUGCUUUCUGUACAGAAGGAGUUUUGGUUCACAUUGUUAGUUCUUAAACCCCAACAAACAUAUGAGCUGUUGUAGUUACACUACUGUGUUAUCUGUUAUCACAACUGUCAUCUGUUUAGCAGAGUUUGAAAUCUGUUUCCCUGUACCUUCCUCCAAAGAACUGCCUCUGACGAGACAAUAAUACUGGCUUCUGAGUUGACAGUAAAAGCUGCUGGCUAUGUUCAUCAUGUGUCUCCUCAUAUUUUGUACAGCAGGAGCAAAAAUCUAUAAAUACAGUCUCCAAGGCAAUACUGCACCAUUAACAGUCUUUGACAAUAGAGCUGUCUGAUCUCCAUCAUGUCUCUCUUUUUUUCUUUCGACGCCUGGUCUACAUCAAAUAUCUCAAAUGGAUUUAUAUUACAGUAAGCAUUAAUGAGUUCCUCAGUACUUAUGGCAGCUACUUGAGUAGGUUCCUGUUUUUACCCCUUUGUGUCAAGAAUAAAUCCAGCCUAAGAGGGUGAGGAAAGGAACUAGAGUAAAGCUUUAAUGUUUCCAUGUGGAUACUUACAGACAGCUGUCAAUAGUAAAUGCAACGAUAAUACAACAGUGAACAUAAAUGGUGGUCGAUACUACAUGUGCAUUAAACACAAGUAAACAGGUUAACCCAACAUCAUUGUCAUUUCUCACCAAACCACCAGAGGAAGAGUAAUGGACAUAAAUUCGAGCAGGGUAAUAGGUGAGGGCUCGAUUUGUUUCUUCGGCCAUAGUAUGUGUAAAUUACUUUUUUAUUGUACUGUGGCAAAGAAUGUAUUCUGUCCCUACUAUGUAUGGCUAUGUGAUGGUGCCUCUGGAAAAUCCUUCAAAUGUCUUCAUGCUUCCCUUUUGAAAAACUGCCACCAAGAAACCUGGAAGAAGCAAAUAUCAUUUCCUGCCACAUUUGCUAUUUUGGCAUUU